rnacentral:tRNA from 2 species
GCCCCUGUAGUUCAAUGGAGAGAACCUCAGAUUUCUAACCUGAUAAUCCAGAUUCGAAUUCUGGCGGGGGUA